rnacentral:rRNA from 1 species
UACGUAGGGGGCUAGCGUCGUCCGGAUUUAUUGGGCGUAAAGAGCGUGUAGGCGGCCAGGUAGGUCUGGUGUGAAAACUCGAGGCUUAACCUCGAGAUGUCAUCGGAAACCAUUUGGCUAGAGUCCGGAAGAGGAGAGUGGAAUUCCUGGUGUAGCGGUGAAAUGCGCAGAUAUCAGGAAGAACACCAAUGGCGAAAGCAGCUCUCUGGGACGGUACUGACGCUGAGACGCGAAAGCGUGGGGAGCGAACAGG